ACAUCCUACAAGGCACAGGACAGCUCCCUAUAUCAAAGAAUUGUCCAGCCCAAAGUGUCACCAGGACUGAGACUGAAAACCCUUGCUUUCAUGUCCUGACAUCACAGCUAUAUUAUUGAAAAGCAUCUGUUUGAACUAAUUUGCAAUAUGGUUUGAAUGGCUUAUAGUCCACAUAUAACCUUCCAAGGUCAUUUGGUCAGUCACUUAUUGGCAAGAUCUUAAAUCAUACGAAAAAGGAAACGAAGCCUUUUGGGAAGCUACAGGGAGAAAUAUUUUGUGUCUGUGUAUUUGGGAGGCCCUCCGGCUGUUCCAUCAGUCUCAUCAUGAAGGCACCCAUCUACUUGUUCUGUGGGUAGAAACACCAGCCCUGUCCACUCACUCUGGCAAAGGCAGAAAUGAAGACCCAGGUGUGCCAUCUCUCCUGCCUGCAACUGAUGGAAGCACAAGCAUUGACUGACAUACCAUCCUGGUCCAAGUCAUCAUUUAACUUAGAACAACCCUAAGUUCAAAGAUUGAAGGGAUAGCAAAGGUUGGCAUGAAGAAUGGAUACACUAGCCCCUGAUGCCUGCUUCUGCACAGCUCUCUGCAAGCUGUGUGCAAGAAUGCACUAAAUGAAUCUCUUGGGUCAGGGGUUCACAAUCUUGGCUGCAUGUUAGAAUCCCCUGCGAAGGCUUAACAAAUUUGAAUGCCCAGACUGACCCCAGGCCAUUUAAUGAAAACCCCUAGGGGUGAAAGAUAAUGCCAGCUGGAAGGAAAGCAACACUCCGAGACUUCAAUCAGUAGAGGUAAUAACAGCGAGGACAGACUACCCAGUACACAUUUAGCCUGGAUUUUUCAACAUUUAUCUUUAAGCAGCAGACAUUCCAUCCAUCCAAAUUCACCAAGGGUGACAGUGCUUGUAUCAUUCAUCAUGGCUUCCAUUUACACAUUCCACUAGGGUACAUAAACCCAUGAAAGUCAAGUGUGAAUAUAGGACACACCUUCACAACAUGAUAAAGACAUAUAAAAAAAUGCUAUGCAAUCCUUUUCUUCUAUAUCAGUUCUGAUUAAGGUUUUCUUUUACUUUUUUCAAGUAAAAUUUAGUUCUUUAUCUAAUUUCUUAUUUUUUCAUUCAUGUUUAGACACAGAAGAACCAAAAAUGAUAACUCAUAUCAAAAGAGACCAUAUGGUUUUGAUUAAAAAAGGGACCUAAUUUCACUGUGGGACACCUGCUGACAUCUUUUUGGUUCUCAUGACAGGCCAGGCCUGCACACAGAACAGUGCUUCCCUUUUCCCAAAACAGUUGGGUGGAAAAUGAAAGGAAUAUUUAACAAAUUCAGUUCACCCUUAGCCUGUAAAGAUCAGUCAGGCUGCUAGUUUGUGCUUUCUAGAACAGUCCUGGCAAUUUGGUGCCUGUGUUGGUUAUUUUUUUGCAGUGUGACCUGCCAACUCAUGACUGAAGGGAUGUCAGCCCAGCCUUCUCAAGGCUGCCUCCCCUCAUCUCCUAGUGGGCUCUGGGCUCAGCUCUCAGGGCUUCAGCUAGUGGUGUGUUGGGAAUAUUUAACAACAGGCUCUCCAAAAAGAAAAGCUUUGUAUUUGCUAAUUCCCUUAGUGUAAAUAAACCCACGAUGGCCGAUUUCAAGCUAUCAGCAUGAGGUCAUUGAACGAGGAAUUGGAAAGAGAGGCACAUAAUCAGUUCUAGCAAGCUGGCACGAGCUGGCUCCAGCACACCCCUGGCUCCAGCCCUGGAGACCAGCUCCCAGGUGACCAUGCCAGAGCUCCACAGCUUCUCUUCCUGGAGAGCAGCGAGGUGGAGGGGCCAGGCCCACUGCUGACUUGGCCAAGCAGGGAGGUACUUGAGAGAGACGGCAAAUCUCAAGGGCUGCGCUGCCUUAUUUCAAACCUUAAUGACUCUUCUGUUUUACUCCUCCCCGAGAAAAAAUAAGAAACCAGAAAAAAAAAUUCCUUUCCAGUAGAUAAAGUACUUUUCUAAGAGGAAAAAAAAAAAAAAAAAGGGAACCAGUAUCACGGCAAAUGUAGCCCGUGAAUGCCGUUAGCAUGUAAUUAUGUCCACUGUGUUACCAUUGCUGGAAGUCGUUACCCAGAGCAUGGUUUGCAGGUUAAACGUGGUAGAAAUUAUAUUCGAAUUCAGACACAGUGAGAACUGGCUUGUCCAUUCUGAUCUAAAUUAUUAAGCAAGAAUGAUUAAAUUGUCAAGGAAAGGAAAUAAAGCCUAGAGUCCUGGGGCCGGCCCAGUGGUGUAGCAGUUAAGUUCGUGCACUCUGCUUCAACAGCCUGGGGUUCGCUGGUUUGGAUCUGGGUGCAGACCUAUGCACCACUCAUCAGGCCAUGCUGUGGCAGCGUCCCACAUGUAGAGUAAAGGAAGAUGGGCACAUCUCAUGGGCAUGAGAUGUUAGCUCAGGGCCAGUCUACCUCAGCAAAAAGAGGAGGAUUGGUGGCAGCUGUUAGCUCAGGGCUAAUAUUCCUCAGAAAAAAACAAGCAAAAACCGAGAGUCCUACUAAAUGUCAUGUAGAGCAGAGCAAAAGGUGUUUAUUAGUUAGAAGUAGAGAACUUAAUCUUCAAAUCAUAUCUCAAAUCUACAGGUGGAGUGUGGUGUGGAUUUAAGACACCCUCUAUGUCAUACAUUCAUGUUAUUCAAUAAUAAAUACAUGUUUCUUUCUCAGUAAAAGAUGC
rnacentral:lncRNA from 1 species